ensembl:lncRNA
GUCCUUGAAUAACAUCAUUUCCUUCAAGGUUUUUACUUUGUUAUCAAGUUGAUGAGAAAAACAAUAUUGUUUUGUUAUUUGUCGUUUUGCUUAGGUUGUAGUUUCCAAGAACCUGUCAGCAACAUCAAGUGAGGAUUUACAGUACUGCUUCUGCCAUCUUUCUCAUGGUACUUGUUUGUCAGAGGAAGAAGUGGUGGAGGGACUGAAGGGGCCCUUGGAGACCAUUCCGCCUGUAUCCAUGAGGAGACCAGAGCCCUGAGCAGUGAGCUCUUAACUGACUGUGGAGAAGCCCUUCGGUUCUGGAGUAAGAUCCGUCCCACUUGAAUUGUAGCUUUUAUGCUGACUGCGAGAUUUUGAGCAAGUACUGAUUUCUCUAAGAGCCAUUCUCUAAUCUAUAAAAUGACAUAUUAAUGGAACAUGCAUAAUAGAAUUAUUAUGAGAAUAGAAUGAGAUUACGCAUGUAAAGUGUUCAGUACCAUGUUGCACCUAAUACAUACUGCUGUUAUCAUUAAUUAUUAUUACCAAGCAGGUUUAAACUGCUAGUGUACCCAAUUUGUUUUUAUGGUAAAUGAUCAUCUAAUUUGUUAUCUGUUCACUUUGUGACAUUAUAAGUGAUACAAGUUGUAUAAGGGAAACGAGAAAAGAAAUUUAAUUUUGUUAGGAAGAAAGAUUAAGAGAAAAGAUUACUGCUACAAUGAGGCAAAUAGAACAAAAAAGGAAGAAGCUGGGAGCAGAGUCCAUGUGAGCAGUCCUCACAAUCCCUAUGUGUUUGUUUGUUUCGCCUAAGCAUUUUGUUGCCUUUGUAAAUGCCAAUUAUUAAGAACAACUUUCAAAUGUUUGACAAUAGCAGAACUUGGAAUUAAGAUUAGAAGAAACUAGAUGGAUGCAGACACAGUGUUUUAGAGCAAUUGGAUGGAAGAAAGAGAAAUAUUAGGAAGCAUUUCACUUUUCAACAUGGGACUCGGUCAUAGUGUAAUUAUACAAACAGCCUUCUGAGCACAGAAAGCAAAACAAACCAAACUUCUGAGUGGGAAACAAAAAGAAGCCUUAGGACA